AGAGUUUGAUCAUGGCCCAGAUUGAACGCUGGCGGCAUGCUUAAUACAUGCAAGUCGAACGGUAACAGAUUCUUCGGAAUGCUGACGAGUGGCGGACGGGUGAGUAAUACAUAGGAAUCUGCCCAUGUAGUGGGGGACAACUUGGGGAAACUCAAGCUAAUACCGCAUAAUUCCUACGGGAUAAAGAGGGCCACUGCUUGCAAGCUCUUGCUACUGGAUGAGCCUAUGUCGGAUUAGUUAGUUGGUAAGGUAAUGGCUUACCAAGACAGCGAUCCGUAGCUGGUUUGAGAGGAUGAUCAGCCACACUGGGACUGAGACACGGCCCAGACUCCUACGGGAGGCAGCAGUAGGGAGUAUUGGACAAUGGGCGCAAGCCUGAUCCAGCAAUGCCGCGUGUGUGAAGAAGGCCUGCGGGUUGUAAAGCACUUUCAAUUGGGAAGAAAGAUUAUGAGUUAAUACCUUAUAAUAUUGACG
rnacentral:rRNA from 1 species